rnacentral:rRNA from 1 species
UACGUAGGGACCAAGCGUUGUUCGGAUUUACUGGGCGUAAAGGGCGCGUAGGCGGCGUGGUAAGUCACUUGUGAAAUCUCUGAGCUUAACUCAGAACGGCCAAGUGAUACUGCUGUGCUAGAGUGCAGAAGGGGCAAUCGGGAUUCUUGGUGUAGCGGUGAAAUGCGUAGAUAUCGGGAGGAACACCAGUGGCGAAGGCGACUACCUGGCCUGUUCUUGACGCUGAGGCGCGAAAGCUAGGGGAGCAAACGGG